CCGGAUAGUUCCUUGAACCGCAUGGUUUCAAGGAUGAAAGACGGUUUCGGCUGUCACUUACAGAUNGACCCGCGGCGCAUUAGCUAGUUGGUGAGGUAACGGCUCACCAAGGCGACGAUGCGUAGCCGACCUGAGAGGGUGAUCGGCCACACUGGGACUGAGACACGGCCCAGACUCCUACGGGAGGCAGCAGUAGGGAAUCUUCCGCAAUGGACGAAAGUCUGACGGAGCAACGCCGCGUGAGUGAUGAAGGUUUUCGGAUCGUAAAGCUCUGUUGUUAGGGAAGAACAAGUGCAAGAGUAACUGCUUGCACCUUGACGGUACCUAACCAGAAAGCCACGGCUAACUACGUGCCAGCAGCCGCGGUAAUACGUAGGUGGCAAGCGUUGUCCGGAAUUAUUGGGCGUAAAGGGCUCGCAGGCGGUUUCUUAAGUCUGAUGUGAAAGCCCCCGGCUCAACCGGGGAGGGUCAUUGGAAACUGGGAAACUUGAGUGCAGAAGAGGAGAGUGGAAUUCCACGUGUAGCGGUGAAAUGCGUAGAGAUGUGGAGGAACACCAGUGGCGAAGGCGACUCUCUGGUCUGUAACUGACGCUGAGGAGCGAAAGCGUGGGGAGCGAACAGGAUUAGAUACCCUGGUAGUCCACGCCGUAAACGAUGAGUGCUAAGUGUUAGGGGGUUUCCGCCCCUUAGU
rnacentral:rRNA from 2 species